GACGAACGCUGGCGGCGUGCUUAACACAUGCAAGUCGAACGGAAAGGCCCUGCUUUUGUGGGGUGCUCGAGUGGCGAACGGGUGAGUAACACGUGAGUAACCUGCCCUUGACUUUGGGAUAACUUCAGGAAACUGGGGCUAAUACCGGAUAGGAGCUCCUGCUGCAUGGUGGGGGUUGGAAAGUUUCGGCGGUUGGGGAUGGACUCGCGGCUUAUCAGCUUGUUGGUGGGGUAGUGGCUUACCAAGGCUUUGACGGGUAGCCGGCCUGAGAGGGUGACCGGCCACAUUGGGACUGAGGUACGGCCCAGACUCCUACGGGAGGCAGCAGUGGGGAAUAUUGCACAAUGGGCGGAAGCCUGAUGCAGCAACGCCGCGUGCGGGAUGACGGCCUUCGGGUUGUAAACCGCUUUCGCCUGUGACGAAGCGUGAGUGACGGUAAUGGGUAAAGAAGCACCGGCUAACUACAUG
rnacentral:rRNA from 1 species